GGAAAUUCGCAGCCGCAAUGGCGGCGCACGGAGGGGAGAGGGAGGAGGAGACGGCGAGACCCGGAAUCCCGUCUGGCGGCCGCCCACAGCAGACGUCCCCUUCCAGACCCUCGCCGUGGCCGACUCGCAGCGCCAGCGCCCCGAGCCGGCCUCCCUGAGCUCGCAGGAGGAUCUCGAGCUUAUUACAGUUGGCCAACUCGGAAUUGGAGCUGGGGCAAACGUCUCCAAGUCAGCAGCCUCUCACCACCGCUUCCACUUCACCUACGGGGUUGUUGACCGGGACCCCGCCUCCCGGGGCUGACUGAAG